rnacentral:rRNA from 1 species
UACGUAGGAGGCGAGCGUUGUCCGGAAUUACUGGGCGUAAAGAGCGCGUAGGUGGUGCGGUACGACCGGUGUGAAAGCCCCCGGCUCAACUGGGGAGGGUCACUGGUAACGGCCGGACUGUGAGUGCAGGAGAGGGAAGUGGAACUCCGGGAGUAGCGGUGAAAUGCGUAGAUACCCGGAGGAACACCAGUGGCGAAGGCGGCUUCCUGGCCUGCAACUGACACUGAGGCGCGAAAGCUAGGGGAGCAAACGGG